rnacentral:rRNA from 1 species
AGAGUUUGAUCAUGGCUCAGAGUGAACGCUGGCGGCGUGCUUAACACAUGCAAGUCGAACGAGAACGGAUUAUAGCUUGCUAUGAUUGUCAGCUAAGUGGCGCACGGGUGAGUAAUAUAUAGGUAACAUGCCCCAAAGAAGAGGAUAACAUCUGGAAACGGUUGCUAAUACUCUAUAUGCCUUUAAGUCAAAAGACUGCAAGGGAAAUAUUUAUAGCUUUGGGAUUGGCCUGUACGGUAUCAGCUAGUUGGUGAGGUAAUGGCUCACCAAGGCAAUGACACCUAACUGGUUUGAGAGGAUGAUCAGUCACACUGGAACUGAGACACGGUCCAGACUCCUACGGGAGGCAGCAGUGGGGAAUAUUGCACAAUGGACGAAAGUCUGAUGCAGCAACGCCGCGUGGAGGAUGACACAUUUCGGUGCGUAAACUCCUUUUAUAUAGGAAGAUAAUGACGGUACUAUAUGAAUAAGCGCCGGCUAACUCCGUGCCAGCAGCCGCGGUAAUACGGAGGGCGCAAGCGUUACUCGGAAUCACUGGGCGUAAAGAGCGUGUAGGCGGGUUAAUAAGUCUGAAGUGAAAUCCUAUAGCUCAACUAUAGAACUGCUUUUGAAACUGUUAACCUAGAAUAUGGGAGAGGUAGAUGGAAUUUCUGGUGUAGGGGUAAAAUCCGUAGAGAUCACAAAGAAUA